rnacentral:misc_RNA from 1 species
UCGCGAAAUUAAUCAGACCAAGAACAAAACGAGGCAUUUCAAACCUAACUCUGUGUUUUGAAUGGCUGUAUCAAUGGCCAUUGGCGAUUUCCACGAUAAGUCAACCACCACCAAGAGCUAUGUUUUUUUCUCUCACCAUACAGGAACGUAUAUGUGAGGAGAAUCUGCAAAUUCACUUUUCUGUGUGACGGGAGACGAAUUAAGAGCUGAACAGUUGAGACAGAAGGAUGUAUUGCUUCUACGAGUAUCAAUAUUCAAACCACAGCCACCAUCGGAAACAUUAACACUCAAUUGGUCCUUUGGGGCAAAACCAGUGAAGCGGAGUGCUAUCCGGCGGUGAUAUUCGAGUGCAAGCUAACAUGUGUGGUUUCAGAACCGGCGGGCCAAGUGGCGCAAGCAGGAGAAAGGCUCCGGGGCCGCGGGACGGGAGAGCUGUCGUCACCUCGGCGGUGCGGGCAGCGUUGCCAAGCAGCCCACGAAUCCGUCC